GUGCUCGCUUCAGCAGCACAUAUACUAGAAUUGGAACGAUAGAGAUUAGCACGGCUCCUGUGCAGGGAAGACACACAAAUUUAUGAAGAGUUAAAAAAAAAA